UGAGCGGGACAUAUCAAGGGAACAUCUCUUUUUAGCCAAUAGCCCUACGUUUAAGAAAGAAACAUGGUCUGUGAUUCACCUUUGUGAAGUAGAUGUACUAUAAUGUCCAUCUGCUAGCGUUUCCAUCUCGACUACUCCAGUCUGUUCCUCUGAUCCAGUCUAACAUCACAUUCAUCUGAGUGCACAGCGCUAACAGGGCCGUUUACUGAAGCCGUCAAUCACAGCGCCUGUCUAACCAAUCAUCUUUCACCUUCAGCCCGCUCAUCCCGCCCCCUCAAGGACUGUGUUCUGUUAUUGACAGCGGAUCCGAUCCGGGAGGUUAUACAUCUCUGAUGGGAGUCACAGUCACAGCAGGACACGGCUGACAUUUCACCCUCAUCUCAGGCUUUAGAAGUCCUGCAGGACACGUGUGCGUGAUUGAGGGUGACCAGACGCCCGCCGCUGCAUCCCGACAUACCUGAGCGCUGCUCGCGCGUCUGCUCCCGAUCAAUCUGUCAGCGCAAUAAUCCCGGACCGAUGAACAACAUCAGCGCAGUCUGACACACUGUAGUCUGGGAUCCUCUGCGCAGCUGUGCCACAGUAUAUGAAGGUCAAAUGAACGACACGAGAGACGUCUGGCUAUUUUUCUUAAGGUUAAACAAGCGAGCUGAAGAACCAGCAAGGGAAGAGCUUUAAAUGAGCAGUUCAGCCAAAAAUUAAACAGUCUGUCAACCUGUAUAACUUUAUUUUAUCUGUGAGACACAAUGUUAGGUAGAGGGUUCUGAACAGGUUCUGUCUAAAGAGAAAGAAAGUCAUACAGGUUUGUGUUGAAGUGCAUUUUCAUUACAGGAUAAAAAAUAAAAA